rnacentral:rRNA from 1 species
AUACGGAGGGUGCAAGCGUUACUCGGAAUCACUGGGCGUAAAGCGCGCGCAGGCGGCUUGAUAAGUUGGAUGUGAAAGCCUACGGCUCAACCGUAGAACUGCAUCCAAAACUGUCAAGCUAGAGUCUGGGAGGGGAAGAUGGAAUUAGUUGUGUAGGGGUAAAAUCCGUAGAGAUAACUAGGAAUACCAAAAGCGAAGGCGAUCUUCUGGAACAGUACUGACGCUGAGGCGCGAAAGCGUGGGGAGCAAACAGAAUUAGAAACCCGUGUAGUCC